CCCUCACACCUGAGAGACCUGGACCUGAGUGAGAACCAGCUGCAGGAUUCAGCAUUGAAGCCUCUGUGUGAUCUUCAGAAGAGUCCAGACUACAGACUGGAGACUCUGGAGUCAUCCCUCAGUGUGUCACAGGGCGUUCUGAUCCAUUCAUACAGACCCACGGGGCGCCUGGAACCCUGAGCAGUGAAGCCUUGAUGGUAGGCUUUGCCCUGAUCUAAGAGAGAAGUGCGGCGUACGGGGACUGAGACUUUACGAUCCAUCCUCUCAUCAACAACUCCUGUGUGUACUUUUUUAUUUCCUGUACAGACGAAUGAGCCUCCUGAACAGGGAUAUCAUCCUUGACCCUGGUUUGCAUCUGUAGGGAUAACAUCCAAUGUCACUGUGGUCACAGGCAGACACUGCAGACUCUUCAUAAAGCAUUUCCUCAGUGACUUAGAUCAGCAGGUGGUCUCCACAGCUAACUGCAGCCUGUGCUGUCUCAACCUGUCGUGUCUCGUCGUGUUUUCCAUCUCAGUGACUUUGGCUGUUCUGAUUCUCUUUGGCUGACAUGUGACCACCUGCUGUCACUGAGGCUCUUUUAGACACUUUGCUGUUCUAGAACACUUCUUCAUUCUAGUGGUUUGUAUCGGACCACAGGUCCAGAGGUGUUGUAGCUCAGUGGUAGAGCCAGUCGUCUUUCAACGUAAGGGUUGGGGGUUCGAUUCCUGCUUCUGCCGUCUGUGCUGGCAGAUAGAAAAAUGUGCUGCACAUAGAUGUGCUGUAUGAAAGUGUGUGUGAUGGGGUUUGAGUGGUCAUCUAGACUAGAAGACUAGAAAACCCUUUACCUGCAGCACACAUGCAUCAUUGUUCCCACUCUGACAGUAGCUAUGCUGUAGCUUUGUGGCCUUUGGACUUGGAUGAGGUGUAUAAUAGCUUCAGCUUGUUCUUCUAAACCAAGAGCUUUGCAGAGCCCUUGCAGAGGAGGUUGACAACCAUGGCAGACACAUCAGCGUUGGACUUGUGUAUGAGAGUGGUUCUCUGUUUGCAGCAGACAGGUCAAGGCUCUCUCCUGGAUCAAGAAGCUCUCCAGGUGGUCGCACUGUGUAAUUGGGGAUGGACGUCUCUGUCUUCAGGACCAACACGGUCUCACUCCCAAGUCGUCCCAUGCGUGACGAUCGGGCAGUGUCCCCUCACGUCAGUUCUUAACGUACUGGGUACCCCUUUAGCGUCAAUUUUCAACGCUUGGGGUAGUCAGGUUGACUUCUAUAGAGCUCC